AGUCGAGCGAGAAAGGGGGGGCAACCCCCUGAGUAGAGCGGCGCACGGGUGAGUAACGCGUGGGUAACCUACCCCCAGGCGGGGGAUAACUACUCGAAAGGGUGGCUAAUACCGCAUGAGACCACGGGAUCUUCGGAUCCUGAGGCUAAAGAUCGCACCGGCUUGCCGGUGCUGUCACCAGGGGAUGGGCCCGCGUCCGAUUAGCUAGUUGGUGAGGUAAUGGCUCACCAAGGCUCCGAUCGGUAGCUGGUCUGAGAGGAUGAUCAGCCACACUGGAACUGAAACACGGUCCAGACUCCUACGGGAGGCAGCAGUGAGGAAUAUUGCGCAAUGGGGGAAACCCUGACGCAGCAACGCCGCGUGGGUGAAGAAGGCCUUCGGGUCGUAAAGCCCUUUCGGACGGGACGAACGCUCCGCGGUGACAAGCCGCGGAGUCUGACGGUACCGUAGGAAGAAGCACCGGCUAACUCCGUGCCAGCAGCCGCGGUAAUACGGAGGGUGCGAGCGUUGUUCGGAAUUACUGGGCGUAAAGCGCGUGUAGGCGGCCUUGCAAGUCAGGCGUGAAAGCCCUCGGCUUAACCGGGGAAGUGCGUCUGAAACUGCUUGGCUUGAGUACGGGAGAGGGAGGCGGAAUUCCCAGUGUAGAGGUGAAAUUCGUAGAUAUUGGGAGGAACACCGGUGGCGAAAGCGGCCUCCUGGACCGAUACUGACGCUGAGACGCGAAAGCGUGGGGAGCAAACAGGAUUAGAUACCCUGGUAGUCCACGCGGUAAACGAUGGGCACUAGGUGUGGGGGGUAUCCACUCCUCCCGUGCCGAAGCUAACGCAUUAAGUGCCCCGCCUGGGGAGUAC
rnacentral:rRNA from 1 species